rnacentral:rRNA from 1 species
CACAAGCCUGACGGAGCAAGACCGCGUGCGGGAUGACGGCCUAAUGGUUGUAAACCGCUUUUCUCUGGGAAGAUGAUGACGGUACCAGAGGAAUCAGCCUCGGCUAACUCCGUGCCAGCAGCCGCGGUAAUACGGAGGAGGCAAGCGUUAUCCGGAAUUAUUGGGCGUAAAGCGUCCGUAGGUGGUUAUUCAAGUCUGCUGUCAAAGCGUGGGGCUUAACUCCAUAGAGGCAGUGGAAACUGGAUGACUUGAGUGCGGUAGGGGUCGAGGGAAUUCCCAGUGUAGCGGUGAAAUGCGUAGAUAUUGGGAAGAACACCAGUGGCGAAAGCGCUCGACUGGGCCUGCACUGACACUGAGGGACGAAAGCUAGGGGAGCG